rnacentral:rRNA from 1 species
GCUUACGGCCACACCUCCCUGAGCACGCCCGAUCUCGUCUGAUCUCGGAAGCUAAGCAGGGUCGGGCCCGGUUCGUACUGGAUGGGAGACCGCCUGGGAAUACAGGUGCUGUAAGCC